rnacentral:misc_RNA from 1 species
GAUCCAGGAUUCCGCCCGAAGCCGUCUCCAGCGAGCGUAAGCGCGGGCAAAAGCCUCUUGAGUGGCGUCGAGCGCCUCGUCGCGAUCGCCGCUAAAGGCAAGGACGGCGCGAAAGACAAGAGGAAACUCGCUCUGAUAGAAGUCCUCGAAGUCCUCGACUUCGCCCACACUGGCUCCGCUCUAUGACUACUAGAGUGUCCUAUCC